UAGGGAAUCUUCCGCAAUGGGCGAAAGCCUGACGGAGCAACGCCGCGUGAGUGAUGAAGGUCUUCGGAUCGUAAAACUCUGUUAUUAGGGAAGAACAAAUGUGUAAGUAACUAUGCACGUCUUGACGGUACCUAAUCAGAAAGCCACGGCUAACUACGUGCCAGCAGCCGCGGUAAUACGUAGGUGGCAAGCGUUAUCCGGAAUUAUUGGGCGUAAAGCGCGCGUAGGCGGUUUUUUAAGUCUGAUGUGAAAGCCCACGGCUCAACCGUGGAGGGUCAUUGGAAACUGUAAAACUUGAGUGCAGAAGAGGCAAGUGGAAUUCCAUGUGUAGCGGUGAAAUGCGCAGAGAUAUGGAGGAACACCAGUGGCGAAGGCGACUUUCUGGUCUGUAACUGACGCUGAUGUGCGAAAGCGUGGGGAUCAAACAGG
rnacentral:rRNA from 1 species